rnacentral:rRNA from 1 species
ACGAACGCUGGCGGCGUGCUUAACACAUGCAAGUCGAACGGAAAGGCCCUGCUUGCAGGGUACUCGAGUGGCGAACGGGUGAGUAACACGUGGGUGAUCUGCCCUGCACUUCGGGAUAAGCUUGGGAAACUGGGUCUAAUACCGGAUAGGAGCCAUCUUUAGUGUGGUGGUUGGAAAGUUUUUUCGGUGUAGGAUGAGCUCGCGGCCUAUCAGCUUGUUGGUGGGGUAAUGGCCUACCAAGGCGGCGACGGGUAGCCGGCCUGAGAGGGUGUACGGCCACAUUGGGACUGAGAUACGGCCCAGACUCCUACGGGAGGCAGCAAUGGGGAAUAUUGCACAAUGGGCGCAAGCCUGAUGCAGCGACGCCGCGUGGGGGAUGAAGGCCUUCGGGUUGUAAACUCCUUUCGCUAGGGACGAAGCUUUUUUGUGACGGUACCUAGAUAAGAAGCACCGGCUAACUACGUG